GAGUGAGAAAGCAUGAAAUUUAAAUGUCAUGGUCCCAUGAGGAAUCACUGGCAGAGCUGAGAACAGAAUCUCUCCCCAGCAACUGCUUGGCUCCCUCUCCAUUCAGCAAAGAGCCUGCAUCAUCCUUUGUUUUCCUUUUGUUAUUGAUGUAUUUUGUUCGUGGUGUAUUUUGCUAUCCUUGACAUCCUUGGUCUGAUUGAAUUCCAGGAACUCCUCUACCUGAGGCUGCACGGCCACUGUGGUUUGACAAUUAUGAAGAAGAUUGUUCUGGAAGGUAUUGGAAAGCACCUGAAGGACAACACAGUCAUCAGUCACUGUAUGGCAUAGCACAGCUUCAUGAGGGGAAAGUCCUGCUUAUCAAACCUGAUUUCCUUUCAUGACAAGGAGUGGAUAAUAUCUUAAUUGCCUGGACAACGGGAGCAGAACCUGAAUCCUGUAUUUGCAGAGCAGAACAGCUCAGCUGAAGGGUACAACAGCUGCCUGGUGAUGAGUACUCCGAGAUGUGUUCUGGGGUGAGACUGGCAGUUGCUGUCUGACAGCAAAUCAAAGCUCAGGGAGGAGGUUAUAAAUUUGGGGGCUACUAUCAAACGUGUGGGUUGACCAUUUGGGAUGUGGCUGAUCAGGGAGUGAUGCCUAAUGACUUUGAUGGGAGGCUGCUGAUUUUUUUCAGUCUAUUGGAAAGCUGAGAACAUAGUUUGUGUUUGCUUGGUGAGUCUUGUGCCAAGCAGCUGUUACACUCUCCUUAAGCUGGAGUAUCCAGGUAGGUGUUUGGAGCCCCUGUUCUAGGAAAAGAAAGUUGAAAAGGACUUGGGCUAAGACUUCAACUGUUGUUUUAGGUGAAAUUCCUAAGUUCCCUGAAGCCAGAGUUAAAUUUAGGAAGUGUUUCGGGGUUUGAGAGCAGAGGAAAGCAUGUCUGUGUGCUUGUGUGGAUAACAGCUUCUACCGGUGCAAAGGUGGGUAUUGAAGUAGUGUUGCCAAAGGAUGAGUUUGCUCAAAAGAAACAAAAUUAGGGUGAAAAUGUUUGCUAUAAAUAUUUUGCUCACUAAGUUGUAUUGCUUUUUGUGAAGGUAAUGAAAUUCAUUUAUGUAGGGAUUUCCAUAUCAUACCUCUAAUGAAGCAAAGUCUCCUCUCAUCUGCAGAGUUCAAACAAUGAAGACACAUGACCUCCUUUGCUUUUUUCUUUGGGUUGGAAGUUCUGUGACAUUUAAAGCCAGUUCCAAAGUAACCCAAAGCCUAAAGUUAAAUAAAUAAAUAAAACCAAACAUGUAUGUUUACAAACUUUUAAGGACAUAGCCCAGGCUGUGUUAUUGGCAAUAUGUACCUCAAAUAUGAUUGUGUCACGAUGUUCUUGACUGUGUUUUUCUGAAACCUGCAGACAUUCUUAUGUCUAGU